CCUAAACUUUCAUUACCCAUUUUCUUCUCGCUGAGUUUACAGCCCUCUUGAUGAGAAGUGGGAUGGCAGUUUAACUAGAGCGUUGAAAACGUGCCGUUCUCCCCCUAAGCUGGCAACAGAUCAGCAAACCCAGGGUUUUGGCCUAGAGAUGCCAGGUUUCUGAGAGUUUCCGUGGCGGCAGCAGAAUAAACAGCGCAGCGUCCUGCACGAGUCGCACCUGGAGCCUCUCAUCCUCCUUUUUCAAGCUGUCAAGAAUUUCAGAAAGAAGACACACGCCCUCCCAGAGCCCUGGCGGGGAAGCGUUGGCCUUGGACGCUACAACGGGGACAGGAUAUUAGUAGGAUCAGGGAUGAGGAAGGAAGAACACGAUGAAGCGCUGGUCCAAGGAGUCCCGAAGAUUGCUGGUUUUGUGUUUGUUUCCCUUAAGGGAACCCGGGCUCUUGAACUUCUAGCCUUGGGAGAGCUGGUGCUUGAGCAGAGCCGAAAGUGGGCCAGUGACAGCUCUCUCUGUGCGUGGGCAACAAAUGAGUCAGUAUCUGCCUGUUUUAGCUCUGGAGGGAAAGCCAAGAAGCCAGCGAGGAGCACUGGAUUUGGGUCGCCGGGACCUGGGUUCUGAUCCCAGCCGGGCCGCUUGCUACCUUUGCCACCUUCCCCGUUGUAUGGGCAAAAAAAAGCACUUGACUCAGAUCCUCUGAAAAGUCUUCCCAUCCCACAAAGACAUUUUUCCUCCUUCUCAGAGAAGAAAAUUGACUGCGGGAAAGCUGAAAUAAUUCCAGAAAUGAUCAUUCCAUAGGGGGAAGAGAGAAGAGGAGUCACACCCUAAACUAGAACCAGGAUGGAGUGAAUGGGGCUUUGUUCUGGCCCUGAACAGAAGGUUGGGCACUUCUCUAUGCCAGGCACUGAGGAUACAAAGAAAAGCCCAUCAUUUGGG